GGCUUGAUGGUGUAACGGUAACGCACUCCUAUGCACAUUUUUAUAGCGAUUGACGGAGAGUCCGGAGUUCAAUUCUCUGUCGAGCCA